CUUGUUCCUGCUCCCUCCAUCUGCUAUUUCCCGCUCACUCCAUCCAGUCCCGACAACGAAGUCAACCAUAGCAAUCCUCGAAGUCGACCGUAGCAAUCCGCGAAGUCGACAUCUGCUAGUUCAGCUCCACCUCCUUCCUAUUUUUCUUCCUCCUCCGUUGCUCAGAUCCUAAACUCUAAUACCCAGAAAUCAAUCAGAUCUGUUCAUCUCUCACUUUUUGGACUGCAUCUUGUUGAUCUCCACUCUCAAAACAGAGAUUGUUCACUGUUGAAGAAUUGGCUUUGUAUAAUGGGACUGAUCAAAGUUUGCCAGUCUUGUUAGGAAUUGGGGUCGGUUUUUGAUCGAUGUGGUGAAAGGAAAGUCUCAUUACGAUGAGGGUGGGGG